rnacentral:rRNA from 1 species
GGGUCUACCCAUUGGUCAGGCUUAAUUGUCUGUACUGGUUAGAUUGAUCUCUACCUUCUGAGGAACUUUCAUGCCAUUUAUUUGGUGUGGUUGGAAAUCAGGACUGUUACUUUGAAAAAAUUAGAGUGUUUAAAGCAGACUAUCGUCUGAAUACAUUAGCAUGGAAUAAUGAAAUAGGACGUACUGCUUCUAUUUCGUUGGUUUCUAGGAUCACCGUA